ensembl:snoRNA SNORD116 Small nucleolar RNA SNORD116
GGAUCAAUGAUGACUUCCAUACACGGAUUCUUCGGAAAACUAAACAAAAUCACUGAAAACACUAUACUGUCAUCCUCUUCAAAUUGAGGCCC